CCCUUAGAUGUUCUGGGCUGCACGCGCGCUACACUGAUGCACUCAACGAGUUUACGAGCUUGUCCGAGAGGAUUGGCUAAUCUUUUUAAAAUGCAUCGUGAUGGGGAUAGAUUAUUGCAAUUAUUAAUCUUCAACGAGGAAUUCCUAGUAAGCGCGAGUCAUCAGCUCGUGCUGAUUACGUCCCUGCCCUUUGUACACACCGCCCGUCGCUCCUACCGAUUGAGUGCUCAGGUGAAUAAUUCGGACUGCAGCAGUGUUUGGAUCCCGAACGCUGCAGCGGAAAGUUUAGUGAACCUUNUNACUUACNGGAAGGAGAANUCGUANCA
rnacentral:rRNA from 1 species